AGAGAGAGAGAGAGAGAGACCAGAAAUAAGCCCAUUGCACUCUGGGUUACUUGCAGUAGCCCAUGUCCUGCCAACAAAUGCAAGCAUGAUGAGACAACUAUAAAAUGCCUAAACAUGAUCACUUAACACCAGAGAGAACCAACUGCACGCAAACUUUAGCAAAUAAGAAUAAUAUAAAAACACAGUUAAGCAUAUGACUAAGCAGGUCACCAAUUGGGAACGUGACCAAAAGAGAUCAGAGUUCCAGAAUCCUAACAGAGCCUAAAUCUAUUACCAGGUUGAAUGUCCAGGAAGCUCUUUGAUAGGAACUUUUGGCAUUCUAAGGUGCCACGUGUAUCCCAGAUUCAUCCUCUGCAGUAACA
rnacentral:misc_RNA from 1 species